GUCACAUGGGCGUCCAGGCGGAGGGACUGGCCCUGGAUGUGCCAGCACCGGGUGGCAGGAGGUUGAGAGCCAUCGGGGAUGGCCAACCUGCUCAUCCUCACCCAGUCAGAUGGGUCAUGCAGCUGCUGUGAGCGCUGGGCUGGAAGCCGCACCAGGACAGACAGCUGCUUGCUUUCCUACCGACUCCAGAGUUCAGAACCGGAUCCCCACCCAGGACCCAGCUCCAGCGUGUCGGCCACAGGAGCCUUCCCAGGCCCCCAAGGUCUUCAGAAAGAACUCUGAGAUGGGACGCUCCCGUGACCACAGAAGUGCCAAGUGCCGACGGCACGGAACCCCCUGGCUCCUGGGUGCCGCGGAGGCUGCAUCCGCACCCGAAGUCCACUCGCGCCUCCUCCCGGCACCUACAUGGCCCAUCUCAGCUUUAAAAGUACCAGGAUUCCAACUCAGAAACUCUGCUCGCCGGGAACACAGGGUGUAUUUCUUUUCCAGGAAGAUGUUUUAAAAUGUCAAAAAUAGUGAAUGGCUUAAA